rnacentral:tRNA from 1 species
GAACGGGUUCGCGAAGUGGGCCGCGGCCUCCUCGUGGGCGACCGAGGCGGCGGGCACGCCGAGGCCCCGGCCGAUCGUCUCGGCAACCGUGCGC